GACAGAGGUUGCAAACGUUGUUCGGAAUCACUGGGCAUAAAGCGCACGUAGGCGGUCUGUUAAGUCAGGUGUGAAAGCCCCCGGCUCAACCGGGGAACAGCAUUUGAUACUGGCAGACUCGAGAAUGGUAGGGGUGAGUGGAACUCCAGGUGGAGCGGUGAAAUGCGUAGAUAUCUGGAGGAACACCGGUGGCGAAAGCGGCUCACUGGACCAUCACUGACGCUGAGGUGCGAAAGCUAGGGUAGCAAACGGGAUUAGAAACCCGAGUAGUCC
rnacentral:rRNA from 1 species